GGAUGCCCUGCAGGAAAAAGGAGAAGCUGAAACCUUGGACCUGGAUGGCCCCAGUAACCUGCUUGGUCUCAGAGUGCUCUGAUAUGGAUCCCUGCUCAGAUAUCUCAAGACAGAGCAGAGGGGUGUCCUCUACAUAACGUAGACACACACUGGAAAGGACAAGUCCAAGGACAGUCCAAACAAGUUACUACCAAGCUUAGUUCCUCCUGGCAUGAGUAACAUUCUUUCAUGGGUGAGCAAAACAAGGUUUCAAACAAUUAAUCCUAUGCCAAAUGUGGACCACAGUGCAAUGGAGUGUGAUUUCCCAACCCUGGGGCUAAAGGAUGAUCUCAGAGAACGUCAGUGUUGGCUAGUGGCCAAUACGCUCUUCCUUGUGAAUGAAGGACCUGUGCCUCCAGAAGAUGGUGCCUGCCAGCCUCAUGCCAACCACAGUGGAAAAAGCCAUAGACUAGAGUCAAGGUGUACUCAAAAGGAGAUAGUCACAAACCAUGCUCUAUGCAAGGCAGAGACUUCAGAAAUUUCAGCAUUCUCUAAAAUAAUUCUGACAUGUCUGUGCUA